GGUUGGAUCAUUAAACACAUACCCAUGAAAAAACAAACCCUUGUGGUCCUUUUUCCUCUACCCCCUUGUCCCUCCCCUUCGCCGGGGAGGUGAUGUGGGGGUCUUGGAGAAGGGCUGCGAGAGCAACAAACUAAAAAUGUGAACCUUGUUGAAGUCCAUAGCGGUGCGCCCGCUGGGGGGUGGUGCUGCAACAAACCAGCCUAUAACGGGUUGGUCUGUUUACCCGGCGCCUCCCCCCUUUUCAGGCACACCGCAAACAUGCUAAACCAGACCCCUCUAAUAUAACCAACCGUCUAAUCAUUUUUGUGAAAGCCCCUUUUUUUUUUCUAGCAAAAAAAAAAAUAGGCGACUAGCAAAACCAAAUGAAAACAAACCAAAGUACAACUCUCAGCAAUGGAUAUCUCGGUUCUCGCAACGAUGAAGAGCGCAGCGAAAUGCGAUACAUAGUGUGAAUUGCAGAAUUCUGUGAAUCAUCGAGGCCUUGAACGCAACUUGCGCCUGUGAGUUAUCUCGCAGGCACACCUGUUUGAGUAUCGGCACCAAUCCUCCCAUCCCCCCCUCAUUCCCCUCAAAAAGGAAGCGAGGCUGCGUGAUUGGGGACACUGGGCUGUUGGCUGGCUCACGCUGGCCAUCGCCUGAAAUGCCGGGCGUUUUUUCCUUUAUGGCAGAGUUGCUGUUGGGUCCAUGCUUUUUUACACCGGCAGUUUCCACUGAAUAUAUUUCAGCGGAGACCGCGUGUAUAUCUCGCACCACCUUAAAAAACUCACAUGCUCGCCCCCCAAGUGCUUUGAGGCCCGACUAGGGGUUUAUCCCCUGUGACGGCUUGUUCAUCACUUGUGGUCGGGCGUGUGAGGGUGUUUGAGAUAACCGGGGAAUGCCAGUGCAAAGGGACGCGACCACACCAAACAGCAGCGCACUCUUCACUAUGAGGAACCGCCUCCAAACCAAGCCUUUUGUGCCUUCUCUCUUUCUCUUAGGGAGAGAGAAUCCACAAAAGUAUGGGCCUUCAAUGGCCCGUAUAAUAUACCAAACAUCGAUCUCAAAUCAGGUGAGACUACCCGCUGAAUUUAAGCAUAUCAAUAAGCGGAGGAGAAGAAACUAACUAGGAUUCCCUUAGUAACGGCGAGUGAAGUGGGAAGAGCCCAAGCUUAAAAUCUGGGGGUGACUAAAACCCGCCCUCCGAAUUGUAGUUUUGUGAACGGCAUUUACGGCACUUCCGUGCGGCACAAGUCCCUUGGAACAGGGCGCCAGAGAGGGUGACAGCCCCGUACAUGGCCGCGCAGGGGUGGUGCCAGUUACUGCUGUUUCGUAGAGUCGGGUUGUUUGGGAGUACAGCCCUAAUCCGGUGGUAAAUUCCAUCGAAGGCUAAAUACUGGCGAGAGACCGAUAGCGAACAAGUACCGUGAGGGAAAGAUGCAAAGAACUUUGAAAAGAGAGUUAAAAGUGCUUGAAAUUGCUGAGAGGGAAGCGAUAGGCACCAGUGGUAUGCUCCCGCCGCUUUCGUCGGAAAUCGCGGCGCCGGCACGGUGCCGUCAUAGUAGUCCUUUGUGGCUGCAUGGCGGUGUCUGCAGGCGUCGCGGGGCCGGCGUACUUCGGCGGGGGCCGGCCAGCAUCGGUUGGGGGCGCGGGAGAUUGGCGAGCGGAAGGUAUCCGGACGACUGGCCUUGAGCCGGCCGUUCGGGGCUUACAGCCGCGCGCAGGCGCCGUGCCCAUCCGACCGAGGCACCCUUCGCGGUGGCAACGGACGCCCUUCGGGGCUGGGGGCCCCGGUGGCCGCUGUUGUCCGUCGGCUAGCACUGCAUGCAGUUCUGGCUGGCGGGCGGUGGCGUCUCUGCUGGAGGCUCACUAUGUCCGUUCGAGAUGCUGGCGACAAAUGGUUCUUAUCGACCCGUCUUGAAACACGGACCAAGGAGUCUAACAUAUGUGCGAGUGCGAGGGUGGCAAACCCAAGACGCGUAAUGAAAGUGAAGGGCGGUUCGGCCGCCUGAGGUGGGAAGCGCUGCUCGCGUGGCAGUGCUGCACCAUCGACCGAUCUGGACAUUUUUGGAUAGAUUUGAGUAAGAGCACAUCUGUUGGGACCCGAAAGAAAGUGAACUAUGCUUGCAUAGGGUGAAGCCAGAAGAAAUUCUGGUGGAGGCUCGUAGCGAUACUAACGUGCAAAUUGUUCGUCAAAUGUGAGUAUAGCGGCGAAAGACUAAUCGAACUUUCUAGUAGCUGGUUCCCUC
rnacentral:misc_RNA from 1 species